rnacentral:rRNA from 1 species
AUUGAACGCUGGCGGCAGGCCUAACACAUGCAAGUCGAGCGAGCGGCGGCCGGGUGAGUAAUGUCUGGGAAACUGCCUGAUGGAGGGGGUUAACUACUGGAAACGGUAGCUAAUACCGCAUACCAUCAGAUGUGCCCAGAUGGGAUUAGUUAGUAGGUGGGGUAACGGCUCACCGAGGCAACGAUCCCUAGCUGGUCUGAGAGGAUGACCAGCGACACUGGAACGGAGACACAGUCCAGACUCCUACGGGAGGCGGCAGUGGGGAAUAUUGCACAAUGGGCGCAAGCCGGAUGCAGCCAUGCCGCGUGUGUGAAGAAGGCUUUCGGGUUGGAAAGCACUUGCAGCGGGGAGGCGUUACCCGCAGAAGAAGCACCGGCUAACUCCGUGCCAGCAGCCGCGGUAAUUC